CUGGAUCCAUCCCUCCUCACCCCUCUCAUUUAAGGGUUAGCAGCCAAAGGAGUAAUGUUUCCCUGGGUAGAGAUUGUGCUCUUCUCACGUUGUUACCAGUCACUGGGAGGGGGAUUGUGGUGCUCCUCAAUCGAUAGAGGUAACUCAGUGGACUUCAGACGAUAAAUAGAAGUUACCUAAAAGCUUUAACUACAUGCCUACCUAAUACGUCACUGAUUAACAUGUUGAACAAAACUGGACCCAGCACCAACCCCUGAGGAACACCCAGGGCCUCCAUCUAGACUCUGCAGUGCUGAUCCACAGUAUUAUGCAUCUCUUCUAGUGUAAAGAACUCUCUUCCUCUUACUUCUCGUGAACAGGAAAAUGCCUUU